rnacentral:lncRNA from 1 species
AUGAUAAGACUUCUUGCAGCAGCUCAUUUUCCUCUGAGGACAGAACACAGGACGAGUAGGGCACCUGUCCCUCUUGAUGGCAUCUUCCCCACAUGCUCUCCAUGCAGCAGCAGCAGAUGGCAACCUUCACCACGCACAAACGCCAUGCCGAGCCCUUCACACACAGUGCACUCACCGUGGCUCACACACUGCGGUAAUCAAGGAGCAUCUCACACAGGGUAUCGCACAGAGUGGCUCACACACAGUAUCACACAGAGUAUCACACAGAGAGUAUCACACAUAGCAUCACACACAGUAUCACAAAAUAUCUCACACAGGGCAUCACACAGAGUAUCACAGACUUUCUCACACACAGCAUCACACAGAGUAUUGCAGAAUAACUCAAACAUAGUAUCACACACAAUAUCACAGAGUAUCUCACACGCAGCAUCACACACAGUAUCACAGAGUAUCUCACACACAACAUCACACACAGUAUCACAGAGUAUCUCACACAGAGUAUCGCACACAGUAAUACAGAGUAUCUCACACACAGUAUCACAGAGUAUCUCACCAGAGUAUCACACACAGUAUCACAAAGUAUCUCACACACAGCAUCACACAGUAUCACAGAGUAUGUCACACAGAGUAUCACACACAGUAACACAGAGUAUCUCACACACAGNNNNNNNNNNCAGCAUCACACACAGUAUCACAGAGUAUCUCACCAGAGUAUCACACAUGGUAUCACAGAGUAACUCACCAGAUUAUCACACAUGGUAUCACAGAGUAUCUCAUACACAGCAUCACACACACUAUCACAGAGUAUCUCACACAGAAUAUCACACACCGUAUCACAGAGUAUCUCACAUGCAGUAUCACAGAGUAACUCAAACACAGCAUCACACACAGUAUCCCAGAGUAUCCCACACACAGCAUCAUACACAGUAUCCCAGAGUAUCUCAUACACAGCAUCACACAGUAUCACAGAGUAUUUCACACACAGUAUCACAGAGUAACUCAUAUACAGCAUCACACAGAGUAUCACACACACAGCAUCACACAGAAUAUCACAGAGUACCUCACAUACAGCAUCACACACAGUAG